UACGUAGGGGGCUAGCGUUGCUCGGAAUGACUGGGCGUAAAGGGCGCGUAGGCGGUGGUCACAGUCAGGCGUGAAAUUCCUGGGCUCAACCUGGGGGCUGCGUUUGAUACGUGUUUGCUAGAGUGGGGAAGAGGGUCGUGGAAUUCCCAGUGUAGAGGUGAAAUUCGUAGAUAUUGGGAAGAACACCGGUGGCGAAGGCGGCGACCUGGUCCUUGACUGACGCUGAGGCGCGAAAGCGUGGGGAGCAAACAGG
rnacentral:rRNA from 1 species